rnacentral:rRNA from 1 species
AACGUAGGAGACAAACGUUAUCCGGAGUUACUGGGCGUAAAGCGCGUGUAGGUGGUGGGACAAGUCUGCUGUGAAAGCGCCUGGCUUAACCGGGCGAGGUCGGCGGAAACUGUCCGACUCGAGGACGGUAGAGGGGGGUGGAAUUCCCGGUGUAGUGGUGAAAUGCGUAGAGAUCGGGAGGAACACCUGUGGCGAAGGCG